GACGAACGCUGGCGGCGUGCUUAAUACAUGCAAGUCGAGCGAGGCCCAUCCAGUGGCAACACUGGGGAAGGCCGAGCGGCGAACGGGCGAGUAACACGUGAGCAACCUGCCCCGAAGUCUGGAAUAACAUCGGGAAACCGGUGCUAAUACCGGAUUGCCCCACCUGACCGCAUGAUCGGGUGAGGAAAGAUUUAUCGCGUU
rnacentral:rRNA from 1 species